rnacentral:rRNA from 1 species
GAUGAACGCUGGCGGCGUGCCUAACACAUGCAAGUCGAGCGGACAGACGCGGCUUUUGCUUGUCUGCCGUGUGGGGCGGGCGGGUGAUUCACACGAGUAUCCCUCCCCUUUCAGACUGAGAUCAGCACGGGACAGCGGAUAUCACACCGGAUAAUAUGUUGAACCACGGGGUUCUUUGGAGAACGACGGCUUUGCUGUCCCUACUCGCUGCUUCCGGGCCGUUUUGGCUAGUUGGUAGGGUAACGGCUUACCAAGGCUACGCUGCGUGGGCGAACUGAGAGGAGGAUCGGCCACACUGGAACUGAGACACGGUCCAGACUCCUACGGGAGGCAGCAGUAGGGAAUCUUACGCAAUGGGCGAAAGCCUGACGGAGCAACGCCGCGUGUGUGAAGAAGGUCUUCGGAGCGUAAAGCUCUGUUAGUAGGGAAGAACAGAUGUGUAAGGAACCAUGGACGUCUUGACGGUACCGAAUCAGAAAGCCCCGGCUAACUACGUG